AGGGUUUGAUCAUGGCUCAGGAUGAACGCUGGCGGCGUGCUUAACACAUGCAAGUCGAACGAACCUUCGGGUUAGUGGCGGACGGGUGAGUAACGCGUGAGAAUCUGCCCUCAGGAGGGGGAUAACGGUUGGAAACGACCGCUAAUACCCCAUAUGCCGAGAGGUGAAAUGAAUUUCGCCUGAGGAUGAGCUCGCGUCUGAUUAGUUAGUUGGUGGGGUAAUGGCCUACCAAGACAUCGAUCAGUAGCUGGUCUGAGAGGAUGAUCAGCCACACUGGGACUGAGACACGGCCCAGACUCCUACGGGAGGCAGCAGUGGGGAAUUUUCCGCAAUGGGCGAAAGCCUGACGGAGCAACGCCGCGUGAGGGAUGAAGGCCUCUGGGCUGUAAACCUCUUUUAUCAAGGAAGAAGAUCUGACGGUACUUGAUGAAUAAGCCACGGCUAAUUCCGUGCCAGCCGCCGCGGUAAUAC
rnacentral:rRNA from 1 species